CAAAGUCCCAUCCAGAUCUGACAUCAUGAGUUCUUUGAUCUGUGGUCUCUCCUGGCUCUUUCAUUCUAUAUUUCAUACCCCAACAUCUCUCCCAGCUCUGACAUUCUAUGCUCUCUUUUUCUGAACUCCAAGGAUGGAGAACCACACAACAGAAAGUUAUUAAGAAUGAGAAUCUAGAUAGGCAGCUGGGUGACUCAGUGGAUUGAGAGUCGGGCCUAGAGACAGGAGGUCCUAGGUUCAAAUCUAGCCUCAGACACUUCCCAGCUGUGUGACCCUGGGCAAGUAACUCGACCCUCAUUGCCUAGCCCUUACCACUCUUCUGCUUUGGAACCAAUACACAGUAUUGACUCCAAGAUGGAAGGUGAGAAUUAAAACAAAAAAGAAUGAGAAUCUAAAGUGAGAGUGAGAGUAACAUUGGAUUAGCUGACUACAAGAUCUAUGAAGGUCCAAUGGGACUUUACUAAUGACUUAGAGACUCUAAGUAUUUCCCUUUGUUUUCCCAUUGGUUGCCAGGUGAGUCUUAUUAUUGGGAGACAACCAAGCCCAUAAAGAGACUACCAUAGUCAUGGCAACAGCCACAGAUGACUUUAAAAUGCUUCUAUAGUAGAACAUAGAAUAUCAGAGCUGUUAGACACUGAACAUAACCUGAAUCCCAAAGUCCAUUGCUCUGAGAAUCUGUCCUCACUGGUGAAGCUCAGGGCCCUGUGCCUGAAUGAGGAGAAGGGCAGAGGUGAUGAGAGUGGGAGGAGAGUCAGUCUCGUACUUGUGCCUCCUCAGUUGUAUAACCACAUGCUCAAGAUGUGCGUGACAAACGUCAGACUAUUUGAAGACCACGAUCACUGGCCAAGGACAUGACCAGCCAUCUUGAAACUAACACAGACCACCAUAAUUGUUCUGCAGAAAUGAGCCUUAUAUGACCUUUCAUUAAGUCUAUUCCAAAUCUAAAUUUCUCCUCCACUUAUGUUACUAUACUUCAUUUGGAGAGUUUUUCAAAUGAACUUAACACUGAUUAGUCAUUCAGCAGAGCAUCAAUAAAAGUUUAGCAUGAAUGCCA
rnacentral:lncRNA from 1 species